rnacentral:misc_RNA from 1 species
GUGAAUCAUCAAAUUUUUGAACGCAGAUUGCACUCUCUUCUAAGAGUAUGCCUGUUUGAGGGUCAGCCUAAAAAAAAUCGACGUAGUCGCUGUUUCGCGGUGACUUUCGUCGGCAAUUGGGUCAUCUUAAACCUUUAGGUUUUUUAAGCGGCUCAAAAUUUUCUUUAAGAUUCCAAGAACGUGUCUAAGAUUUUACUUCUUACACACGUUU